rnacentral:ncRNA from 1 species
UUCAUAGCGUUGAUAAGAAGAGUACGUUCGUUACAAGCAUUUAUAGAGAGCCUCGGUUGCUGAAAAGAGGUAAUGGGAGUCGAACCGAAGAUGGUCUUUGAGCAGAAUAAGUGAAUGCGAAAGCACAAGCUUUUUCCGGAAGCACCCGAUAAAGUGCCGCAGUAUAAGAGUUGCAAUGAACUCAGUACUGAUUGAGGUUGGUUUAGCGAUGAAUCAACGAAUUAAGGUGGUAACACGAAAUGUCAAACUUUCGUCCUUAUA